rnacentral:rRNA from 1 species
UGGGGAAUUUUGGACAAUGGGCGAAAGCCUGAUCCAGCAAUGCCGCGUGUGUGAAGAAGGCCUUCGGGUUGUAAAGCACUUUUGUCCGGAAAGAAAUCCUUGGCUCUAAUACAGUCGGGGGAUGACGGUACCGGAAGAAUAAGCACCGGCUAACUACGUGCCAGCAGCCGCGGUAAUACGUAGGGUGCAAGCGUUAAUCGGAAUUACUGGGCGUAAAGCGUGCGCAGGCGGUUUGCUAAGACCGAUGUGAAAUCCCCGGGCUCAACCUGGGAACUGCAUUGGUGACUGGCAGGCUAGAGUAUGGCAGAGGGGGGUAGAAUUCCACGUGUAGCAGUGAAAUGCGUAGAGAUGUGGAGGAAUACCGAUGGCGAAGGCAGCCCCCUGGGCCAAAUACUGACGCUCAUGCACGAAAGCGUGGGGAGCAAACAGGAUUAGAUACCCUGGUAGUCCACGCCCUAAACGAUGUCAACUAGUUGUUGGGGAUUCAUUUCCUUAGUAACGUAGCUAACGCGUGAAGUUGACCGCCUGGGGGAGUACGGUCGUCAAGAUUAAAACUCAAAGGAAUUGACGGGGUCAUAGCUGUUUCCU